rnacentral:lncRNA from 1 species
UCUCUUUCAACAAAAUUGAAGCCUCCAACAAUGAUAAGAUCCAUGCUGUCGAUGAGAUCGAGCAUCGAUGAUGAGAUCCACUAAUGAGUCCAAUGACAAGAUUUAUGCCACUCCUACCCUCUUUCUUCUUUUCAUUUUCUCCACCACUUGAAGGCAUCAUUCCUCUAUUCUAAGAGCAUCUCAAUUAAAUGAGGCCGAGGGCUAAGGGCUUAGGGUUGGAGGCAUCACACCUCUGAUCUUUUUGGACGAACUUAGAGGGCAUAUAACUGACAUUGGUAUCUCGAUCUAUUGAGUUUGAUCCAAGCCAUCUUAUGCUCAUGGAUUGCCAACCAUAUAAAUUUUAAAGUAUUCCAUCUUUAUCAUUCAUCCAUUCAUACAGAUUUUAAAAUACUUCAUUUUUUCUUAUUCAUCCGUCUGCAUGGAUUUCAAGUAACAGCG